rnacentral:lncRNA from 1 species
GAGGACUGUGAAGCAAUCGGGGCGAGGCCGGGUGUCUGUUCAACUCUCCCGCGUAUCGUCUGUUUCUUCGGCGGCGGACAGUGUUCUGUAAUGUGUCUCCCGUUGCCCGAGCUAAAGGUUUUCCUCGACGGAGUCUUUAGAAUACCGUGGUAGAGGCAGUCUCCACACCACUGUGCUCGAACAGCUCUAUGAAGAGGCCUAUGUGGAGAGGAGAAAAAGCCUCCACCAACAGCCAGCACCAACUUGCCAGCCAUAUAUGAACUCUCGCUAUGUUGCCUCGGCUGGUCUCAAACUCCUGGGCUCAAGUGAUCCUCCCACUUCGGCCUCCCAAAGUCAGUAAAUAUAGUUUUUAAAUUGUUGGUAAAAUAAAAUAAAAACAUAUUCAAAUUUUAA